rnacentral:lncRNA from 1 species
ACCGAGCAAGUUUAAAUUGUACUCAGAUUUUUUUCUUGUUAUAUUUGCACAUAGUGUUUGGUAGCAACAUGGUAGUAGUUGUUCCUAUACUGUAUCACAUUGUUCAUGAUUCUUACUGGUAUAUCCUCCUACAUUUUUGCACCUUUCUAAAAAUUCUUUUGUUUGUCUAUAUUUGUAUGUAAUGUCUAGAUUCUAUGUUGAUAAUAUCUGAUGAAUGUUUAUGUGUGUUUUUGUCGCACGAAUUUUUCUUUUGCAGACCAGUAUCUUUUGCAGACCAGUAUCGUUUAAACAUCAGCUCAAAAAUGUAUGAUUUUGAUUUGAGUUUUUUUUUUUUUUUUUUAUUUGUUCUAAAAAUUGUAUGCAGUAGUGAUGUAUGAAUUUUUUUUGGCAGCUUCGCUUUCUCUUGUCCAUCGCUUUCUCCCCUUCACUCGUCUUU